UACGUAGGGGGCUAGCGUUGUCCGGAAUCAUUGGGCGUAAAGAGCGUGUAGGCGGCCCGGUAAGUCCGCUGUAAAAGUCAAAGGCUCAACCUUUGAAUGUCAGUGGAUACUGCCGGGCUAGAGUCCGGAAGAGGCGAGUGGAACUCCUGGUGUAGCGGUGGAAUGCGCAGAUAUCAGGAAGAACACCAACGGCGAAGGCAGCUCGGUGGGACGGUACUGACGCUGAGACGCGAAAGCGUGGGGAGCGAACAGG
rnacentral:rRNA from 1 species